rnacentral:rRNA from 1 species
UCUACGGGAGGCAGCAGUGAGGAAUAUUGGUCAAUGGGCGGGAGCCUGAACCAGCCAAGUCGCGUGAUGGAAGACGGUCCUAUGGAUUGUAAACCUCUUUAGGCGGGGAGCAAUGCCGGGCACGUGUGCCCGGAGGGAGAGUACCCGCAGAAUAAGCAUCGGCUAACUCCGUGCCAGCAGCCGCGGUAAUACGGAGGAUGCGAGCGUUAUCCGGAUUUAUUGGGUUUAAAGGGUGCGUAGGCGGAUUUUUAAGUCAGCGGUAAAAUGUCGGGGCUCAACCCCGGCUGGUCGUUGAAACUGGUUUUCUAGAGUUGGAGAGAAGUAUGCGGAAUUCGUGGUGUAGCGGUGAAAUGCAUAGAUAUCACGAAGAACUCCGAUUGCGAAGGCAGCAUACCGGCUCCAUACUGACGCUGAGGCACGAAAGCGUGGGGAUCGAACAGGAUUAGAUACCCGGGUAGUC